GCUCUUAUUUAAAACUGGUUUUGCCAUAAAAUACAGUCAUUAAAAACACACACACACAAAUAACCAAAAAAAAAAAAAAACAAAACCUCAAAAUAAUGUGAAUUGGAACUGAUUAAACUAGAACAAAAUUUUACUAUGGUUAUUCUGUCUGCUUUGCUAUGUAUCUGCCAACUACACACCCUUUACUGGCUGGUAAAUGCUCGCCUCGGCUCAGUGAUUUCUGUGUUUGUAAUUAUGAAAAAAAAAAAAAAAGCUUUUAAAAUUCUUUUCUUUCUUUUUCAGGUUAUAAACACUGGGAUUAGCAUGGCUCCAAAUGUUAGUGUGAAAAUAAUGGUACCAAAUUCUUUUCUCCCUCAAGAUGAUAAGUUGUUCAACGUUUUGGAUGUCCAGGUAACAGUGUGUUCCCCCUGUCUGACCUAGCCUAAGUGUGUGUUAAAUACUAGACCUGCUGUGAAGCUGCAUAGUCCUGCUGACCCCAGUCACACCCGGUCUCAGGGACUGUCUGUGCAUUAACAGAGGGGACUUUGAAUAUUUUUUUUCUACACUGUAGACCAGAGGUGGCACCUGCAUUGACAUAUACAAUCAGAAAGCCUGGUUCUUCCUUCUUUAUUAACUAUUUUAUAUGACUUUCUUCGGGACAUGAACCCACAGAAGUCAUGUAGUCAGUAAAAUAUUCCCUAAAGCUUGAAGCCAGUGCAGCAAGAGCAGAGAACGAAGCCCUCUUUAAGGAAACAUUUGAAUCAUUUCUUAUGCGAGUGUUUAGUGUCUUAUAAAGUUUUUGUUUGUUUUGUUUUGUUUUGUUUUGUUUUACCUCUGAGUAUCAAGAAACAGCAAUCACAAAAAAAAAAAAACUACUAUAUGAGUUUGGAAUCUUUUUUUGAAAAUACUUUGAUUCCAGAUUUAAAUGCUAGGAUGUAUAAUUGUAAUAUAUUUUGUUUUGUGGUUUAUGUUUUAUGUAACCAAAAAGAAUUUAACUUUAGGCUAAUGUUUAUCUGUCAUUUUUUUACUCAUUUCUGUAAACUUGGACCAUGUUGUCGAAGUAGGACUGGCUAUAAUUUGGGUGGGGUUUUAAUUGUGGGUUUGCUAGAGAUUUUCUUAUAUUUUAGUAAAAAUAUUCAAUCGAAACUUCUGAAACCAUUUUGUAUUAGCUCUGUUCAAAGAGACAUGAUCCUUUUCUUGUUCUCUAUCUUUAGACAACUACAGGGCAAUGCCAUUUUAAACACUAUGGAAGAGAGUGUACAUUUGCACAGCAAAAAGGCAUAGCGGGGACGUUGACCGAUAUAGUCAAAUUCCUAUCAAAGACUGAUAAGAGACUCCUGGUGAGUUUCCAUUCUUCAGAUGUGCAUUUCUGUCUUGCUACAAAGAACUAAAACAUUCAAAACCAAAUUCAACAGGGGUUUGUGCUGCCAGGAGAAUGCUAAGAGCUGUAAACCUAGGUGAUAUUCCCUCUAGUAAGGAAAUAGCAUGAUGGAGUGCUGAGAUGGGCCCAGGAUUAAGUGUGUGCUAUAGGGGUUCAUUACCUAGCAGUUACCACCCAUGUACCACCCAGACAUUAUUCCAUUACCCUCUUGACACCAAGUUACCCGGGCAGCCAUAUUUAUAGCACAAGCUUCUCAUUUUCCCAAUUUAGUGACUUUAUGAGAGAAAAUGGAGAAGUUGUGCAACAACAAACCAGAGCACAUAACGUAGGGAAGAGACUCUAAUUAUGAGCAUCAUCCUUUUCAUCCUGUCCCAGAAUGUUCAGUCCUAAGAUGAAACACGUGCUACACAUUGAACACACUGUGUAACUUAUAAAACAAGAAUGUUUAUUGUAUUGAAGGAAAGAUGAUUAUAAAAAGGACAGCUUUCUAAAUACAAUAAAGAUACUUAAAAAUACUUCCUCACAUUCAAUUGUGUGAGUGUGUACAGGAAAGUAUGUCUCUGUAUGCCUAGAGAAGUCAGAGGUCAACUUGCAGGAGAUAGCACUCUUCUUACAUCCUGUAAGGAUUUGAACACAGGUCUUCACGUUUAGCAGCAAGUAAUUUUACCUGCUGAAGAUCCAUCUUGCUGGCACACUAAGAAGAUUUUAGAUCUAUGUGAAAUGUGUUUUACAUUUUAAAAUUCAUAUAUAUAUGAAUUAUAUAUGACUAUAUUAUAUAUAUUAUAUAUGAAUAUAUAUGAAUUUUAAAAUAUAAAAUACAUUUCACAGGUGUCAACUGCCCUCUCCCCUCUGCUAACUUGUUUGGGGCAGAUUUUCCUUGUUGUUUUGAGGCUGCUUCUCAAAAAUUCUUUCUCCCAUCUUGUGGUAGGAACAGUGGGAUUAUAAGAGCAUUUAUAUCAGAUAUUUACAUGGCAUCAUUGCGUGGCAAUCAUUCUAUCCACUGAACCAUCUUCUCCAGCUGCUUAUUUUUUAAGUGUAAAAAAUUUUAAUGCCAGUGCUUUUAAUUCUUUUCAAGUAUUGCAUGAAAGCUGAUCAACACUGUUUAGAUUUCUUAUGCAAUUUCGGAAAAAUGGAAAGUGGGAAGGAAGCCAGCGUUCAUAUUCAGCUGGAGGGCAGGCCAUCCAUCUUGGAAAUGGUGAGUCUGAAAUCAUAUAGAUAACUUUGUGAUGUGGAUCUAUAAAGCCAGUUAUUUUUACAUAGACAGGAUAUUAUAGAAACAGUUUUAAAAAUUACAUAGAUAAGAAUACAGCUUGAGAAUAAAACCCAAAUCUCUUUUUUUUUUUUUUACCACACUACCUGACAGAGAUGAACUAUAGCAUCCUUGGGUUUCAUUCAGAAAUCAUGCAACUUUCUGUGAACUUAAUUAAAUAGAAGUUGACUAUCCUAUCAGCUCACAUCAUCUUAAGUCACCAGGUCUCAAUGGCUGUAAUGCUGCAACCCUUUAAUACAGUUCUUAUGUUAUGAUAGUAUCUCCCAAUCAUAAAAUUAUUUUAUUGCUACUUAAUAACUAUAAAUUUGCUACUGUUAUGAAUUGUAAUGUAAAUAUAUGAUACUCAGGGUAUCUGAUACAAGGCUCCUAAAAGGGUUGUGGCACAUAGGUUGAGAACCACUGCCUUAAAUCAUCCUUUAAAAUGUGCUAUUUAAAAACUAAAACCAAGGAAUAAAAUUAAAAUCUGAUUUCAGAGAAAACCAAAUGGAAACAUCAAACAGUAUCAACUAAACCUGGGUGUGGUGGCUCAUGCCUAUGACCCCAGCACUCUGGAAGUCUUAAGAUUAUCUGGACUAUAUAGUGAGUUCAAGGCCCUCUUGAAUUUGAGAUCCAAUCUCAAAUUAAAAAAAAAAACUAUAACAAAAUUCUGUAACAAAAUUACAUUUUUAUAAAUAACAAACUUUAAAACUUCAAAUAGAAAAGGAAUUAAGAGUAUUUUGGAUUUUUUUCCUCUAAAGAGCACAUUUUACAAAGAGCUCCCAGAUGACAGGAGAAAACUGAAAACACUGGCUCAGUUUCCCCUUCUGGUCAGUGUGGACAAUGUCAGUGACCAGUGUAGACAAGGCCAGCCAAUGGAGUUGCAAACUGAGACAAAUUUUGUUCACAUAUUUUAGUUGACCCUUGCCCAUGAUAGCUAAAAGAAAUGGCUCUACUACAUGUUCAAUAGCAUUUUUGUUAAAUUAUAACACAGUGGUCAAAGGAAUAUUCAUCAGAUAGCAGAGAGAGAGAGAGAUCCAUUCAUCUUAGCUUCAGAUAUGCAUAAAGUCCUGAGGCCAGCAUCAGGACUGCCUCUCAUAUGCCCCAAGUUUCUCCACAGAGGCUCUACUGACACAGUGGACAGAAAAUUUUGUUGUCAGACAUCCAUGCACACUGCAAGACAUUUAAGAGUGCCCUACACCCCAAGUGGUUCCUACCACUGUUCACAUCUCUACAGUUAAAGAUGUCCCCAGACAUUACAUACUGUCCCUGGAGGAUAAGUCUUCCUGUUGAAAGAAUGCUGUAGGCCUAGGUGAAGUUUGGAAUUUCUAGCUCUAAAGACAAUCUUUACCCAGUAGAUUUUAGCAUUUGAGGGAAAAUAGAUCUCCUUAAGAAUCUGUAGUCAAGGACCAAGGUGUAGCUCAAUUGGGAUAAUGCUUGCCUAACAUCCACAAAGCCCUGAGAUCAAUCCCCAGACCUGAGCACUGGUGUGAACUAGGUAUGUAGUGAUGUACACCUGUAAUUAGAUUAUAGUACGAUUAGUAAAUCAAGGUCACUCAACUAACAGCCUGGGCUCCACGUGAUUUGCUUUG
rnacentral:lncRNA from 1 species